AUCCAGACUUUGAUUCUGGCUCAGGAUGAACGCUAGCUACAGGCUUAACACAUGCAAGUCGAGGGGAAACGACAUCGAAAGCUUGCUUUUGAUGGGCGUCGACCGGCGCACGGGUGAGUAACGCGUAUCCAACCUGCCCAUCACUUGGGGAUAACCUUGCGAAAGUAAGACUAAUACCCAAUGACGUCUCUAGAAGACAUCUGAAAGAGAUUAAAGAUUUAUCGGUGAUGGAUGGGGAUGCGUCUGAUUAGCUUGUUGGCGGGGUAACGGCCCACCAAGGCAACGAUCAGUAGGGGUUCUGAGAGGAAGGUCCCCCACAUUGGAACUGAGACACGGUCCAAACUCCUACGGGAGGCAGCAGUGAGGAAUAUUGGUCAAUGGGCGAGAGCCUGAACCAGCCAAGUAGCGUGCAGGAUGACGGCCCUAUGGGUUGUAAACUGCUUUUAUGAGGGAAUAAAGUGAGUCUCGUGAGACCUUUUGCGUGUACCUUAUGAAUAAGGACCGGCUAAUUCCGUGCCAGUAGCCGCGGUAAUACGGAAGGA
rnacentral:rRNA from 1 species